ACUGAGCGGAGGGAUGCGGUGAUGUCACUCAGGAAGCGACUCGUCCCCAGAAGCCCCGGCACCGGGACCUUCCGUCAUUGGCCGGGAAUCCCAGGAAUCCUCCCCAUCUGUGGGACCCGGCCAGCCUAGGAGGGAGGGCCAGUGGUCGAGCGAACCCAGCGAGGGGCCCAGAAAAGAGAAGGCCGAGGAGGAGGAAGGCCACGCCGCUCCUCGGCGUUCCUCUGCCUCUACGGAUGCCGACCGGGAAUUUCGAAUGGAACGAGACCGUCGUCCGGAGGAUACCCUCAGACAGAGGACCAGA
rnacentral:lncRNA from 1 species